AAGAAAAAAAAAAAGAAUGAUGUUGCAGAAGUGAAGGGAACCAAGUUUGCUAAAGUAAUUGUGGUGAUAGAAAUGUAUUAGCCUCAGAAGCUACUGAGGUGGUUCAUUCUAUCCUAGUACAGUG
rnacentral:snoRNA from 1 species